GUACUCACUUCAGUAGUACCUAUACUAAGUUGAAAUGAUACAGAAAAGAUUAUCAUGGCCCUUGUGCAAGGAUGACAUGCAAAUGCAUGAAGCAUUCCAUAUUUAA
rnacentral:snRNA from 1 species